AACGAGCGCAACCCUCCGCUGUGUGUUACAAGUGUCACACGGGAACUGCCGGUCAUAACCGGAGGAAGGUGGGGAUGACGUCAAGUCAGCAUGGCCUUUAUAUCCUGGGCUACACACACGCUACAAUGGGAAGGGACAAUAGGUUGCGAAGCCGCGAGGCGGAGCCAAUCCAGCAAAACUUCCCUCAGUUCAGAUUGCAGGCUGCAACUCGCCUGCAUGAAGUUGGAGUUGCUAGUAAACGCAGGUCAGCCAUACUGCGUUGAAUACGUUCCCGGGGCUU
rnacentral:rRNA from 1 species